UUGCCUCGAAAACCAAAGAGAUUGAGCAG
rnacentral:piRNA from 1 species